CAGUCGAACGCUUCUUUUUCCACCGGAGCUUGCUCCACCGGAAAAAGAGGAGUGGCGAACGGGUGAGUAACACGUGGGUAACCUGCCCAUCAGAAGGGGAUAACACUUGGAAACAGGUGCUAAUACCGUAUAACAAUCGAAACCGCAUGGUUUUGAUUUGAAAGGCGCUUUCGGGUGUCGCUGAUGGAUGGACCCGCGGUGCAUUAGCUAGUUGGUGAGGUAACGGCUCACCAAGGCGACGAUGCAUAGCCGACCUGAGAGGGUGAUCGGCCACAUUGGGACUGAGACACGGCCCAAACUCCUACGGGAGGCAGCAGUAGGGAAUCUUCGGCAAUGGACGAAAGUCUGACCGAGCAACGCCGCGUGAGUGAAGAAGGUUUUCGGAUCGUAAAACUCUGUUGUUAGAGAAGAACAAGGAUGAGAGUAACUGUUCAUCCCUUGACGGUAUCUAACCAGAAAGCCACGGCUAACUACGUGCCAGCAGCCGCGGUAAUACGUAGGUGGCAAGCGUUGUCCGGAUUUAUUGGGCGUAAAGCGAGCGCAGGCGGUUUCUUAAGUCUGAUGUGAAAGCCCCCGGCUCAACCGGGGAGGGUCAUUGGAAACUGGGAGACUUGAGGUGCAGAAGAGGAGAGUGGAAUUCCAUGUGUAGCGGUGAAAUGCGUAGAUAUAUGGAGGAACACCAGUGGCGAAGGCGGCUCUCUGGUCUGUAACUGACGCUGAGGCUCGAAAGCGUGGGGAGCAAACAGGAUUAGAUACCCUGGUAGUCCACGCCGUAAACGAUGAGUGCUAAGUGUUGGAGGGUUUCCGCCCUUCAGUGCUGCAGCUAACGCAUUAAGCACUCCGCCUGGGGAGUACGACCGCAAGGUUGAAACUCAAAGGAAUUGACGGGGGCCCGCACAAGCGGUGGAGCAUGUGGUUUAAUUCGAAGCAACGCGAAGAACCUUACCAGGUCUUGACAUCCUUUGACCACUCUAGAGAUAGAGCUUCCCCUUCGGGGGCAAAGUGACAGGUGGUGCAUGGUUGUCGUCAGCUCGUGUCGUGAGAUGUUGGGUUAAGUCCCGCAACGAGCGCAACCCUUAUUGUUAGUUGCCAUCAUUUAGUUGGGCACUCUAGCAAGACUGCCGGUGACAAACCGGAGGAAGGUGGGGAUGACGUCAAAUCAUCAUGCCCCUUAUGACCUGGGCUACACACGUGCUACAAUGGGAAGUACAACGAGUCGCAAAGUCGCGAGGCUAAGCUAAUCUCUUAAAGCUUCUCUCAGUUCGGAUUGUAGGCUGCAACUCGCCUACAUGAAGCCGGAAUCGCUAGUAAUCGCGGAUCAGCACGCCGCGGUGAAUACGUUCCCGGGCCUUGUACACACCGCCCGUCACACCACGAGAGUUUGUAACACCCGAAGUCGGUGAGGUAAC
rnacentral:rRNA from 1 species